rnacentral:pre_miRNA from 1 species
AGUUAAAAUUUUUAUCCAUUUGUAUUGUUAAAAAUUGACUUAGCUGAUAGAAUAAUCAGAUAGUAACACAUAACGUGCCACAUGUACCUCAUAUUGAUGUCUAAGAACUAGUUUUUAAUUGUAGAAAUGCAUGAAAAUUUAACA